UUUGGUGGAUGGUGUUCAGUAUCAAGGACAGGUGCGUUUGCCUUUGUGUAGAUGGUGUUCAGUGCCAAGGACAUGUGUGUUUACCU
rnacentral:pre_miRNA from 1 species